UACGGAGGAUGCAAGCGUUAUCCGGAAUGAUUGGGCGUAAAGCGUCCGCAGGUGGCAAUGUAAGUCUGCUGUCAAAGCGUCUGGCUCAACCAGAUAAAGGCAGUGGAAACUACGUAGCUAGAGUACGGUCGGGGUAGAAGGAAUUCCUGGUGUAGCGGUGAAAUGCGUAGAGAUCAGGAAGAACACCGGUGGCGAAAGCGUUCUGCUAGGCCUGUACUGACACUGAGGGACGAAAGCUAGGGGAGCGAAUGGG
rnacentral:rRNA from 1 species